rnacentral:rRNA from 1 species
AUGAACGCUAGCGGGAGGCCUAACACAUGCAAGCCGAGCGGUAGAUUACUUUCGGGUAAUUGAGAGCGGCGUACGGGUGCGGAACACGUGUGCAACCUGCCUUUAUCAGGGGGAUAGCCUUUCGAAAGGAAGAUUAAUACCCCAUAAUAUAUUAUUCGGCAUCGGGUGAUAUUGAAAACUACGGUGGAUAGAGAUGGGCACGCGCAAGAUUAGCUAGUUGGUGAGGUAACGGCUCACCAAGGCGACGAUCUUUAGGGGGCCUGAGAGGGUGAUCCCCCACACUGGUACUGAGACACGGACCAGACUCCUACGGGAGGCAGCAGUGAGGAAUAUUGGACAAUGGGUGGAAGCCUGAUCCAGCCAUCCCGCGUGCAGGAAGACGGCCCUAUGGGUUGUAAACUGCUUUUAUCUGGGGAUAAACCUACUUACGUGUAAGUAGCUGAAGGUACCAGAAGAAUAAGCACCGGCUAACUCCGUGCCAGCAGCCGCGGUAAUACGGAGGGUGCAAGCGUUAUCCGGAUUUAUUGGGUUUAAAGGGUCCGUAGGCGGACUGAUAAGUCAGUGGUGAAAUCCGACAGCUUAACUGUCGAACUGCCAUUGAUACUGUUAGUCUUGAGUAAGGUUGAAGUGGCUGCAAUAAGUAGUGUAGCGGUGAAAUGCAUAGAUAUUACUUAGAACACCAAAUGCGAAGGCAGGUCACUAAGUCUUAACUGACGCU